rnacentral:antisense_RNA from 2 species
AUCUUUUGGUAUCUGUGCUCCACUUAAGCCAGCUACCCGGUUAGGUAAUCUGCCAGGAUUAGCUAACCUUCGAAAAACCACCUGCCAGGGUGGUUUUUUCGU